GUGUCUCCACUCAUUCCACCUCAGCCUGAUGCUUGGUGGAAGUUGAACAACUUCCUCCCUCAGUUGCUGACAAUUCUUUCUCAUCCUGCAAUAUUUUUAGAAUGUUCUGGGAUUGUGGGGAUCCUUGGAUGCAUUCAGCUUCUUGCUAAGUGUUGGGGCAAGCAAAACUCUGGCAGGAAAGAGAUGUUUUAUGUGUUGCUACUAAAGGAAAGUGGGAUAUAGAAGAGAACAAGAAGAAAGAGAAGAAAGACAAGGAAAGAAAAAUCUCUGUGUCAUGAUCUUGAGAAGAGGAGCUUAUCCUAAAGAGGUCCUAAAUGCAAUCACACAUAUUCUUAUAAGAAAGAUGCACCGAGAAAGACAUAGCGAAAAGGAAGAGGCGAUGUGACUAUGGAAGCAGAGAUUGGAGUGAUGCAGCCACAUGCCAAGGAGUAUCCACAGCCACCAGAAGUCGAAGAGGCAUUAUUCUGAAGACUUUAUAUGUGCUACUUCAUUUAAUUUCUGCAACUCCACUUGAACUUGGAAUCCAGUGAAGCAAAGCGAUUGCCUGUAUACGCAGAAACAUGCCACGAGGGAAACGUCAUGGGUGGGGGGCGUGUGUCAGGCAGUGAUAAUAACAUGGACCCAUGGAGUUCUGGAAAGAUCUGAAGAAGGAAGUUGUGCCUGGACCACUAUGCAAACUGGGUGCAAGAGCUAUAUAUGAGCAGCUUGCUGAUGCAUGUGAUUGCCAGGCAUGGGGCUGGACCCCUGCCCAGGAGUGGCAAGGACAGGUACCCAGGCCACAUAUGACUGUUGUGCAGCUGAUGUACUUGGCUUGCUACCUACCACCGAUAGUGAUCAUUCUAAGAUGCAAAACAAUGAACACACUCAAGCUGAUUUUGGAUUUGACCAUACACAUUUCUCAGAAGAGGGAGCUUUCCUGGAGAAGGUGAAGAAAGAGAAGGAUAUUUGGCAGUGCUGAUUGCAGCUCGCUCUAUGAGGACAUAUUCUCCUCAUCCACAGAAGCCCUUUUCAAACAUUACUAAGAAGUCUGAUAAGAAGAAAAAACAUCCACUGAUGGGUUCUCAGAAAGAAAGCAUUAGAUUUAACUACAGGGCAAUACUGCCCUGAUUACCACAGGCCCAGCUGACGGCAAGGUUGCCAGGCAGCUCUCGUCCUGCCAAGAAUGGUGGUGGAAUGAAGCAAGCAUGUGAUGCACGUGAUUGAUGACACUGUCACAAGUAUAUAUCAUCAUGGAAAUACCCAAAUAAGGUGUUUGAACACAUAUUUCUCAGAGGAGGAAGAUUUCCUGGAGAGGCUAAAGGAAGAGAGGAAGAUAUUUGGCAGCUGUUGAUUGUUGACCAUGACUUGUUGAAAAAGCUUGCAAAGGCAUCCUUAAGGAGUUUACAUUCUCCUAAG
rnacentral:lncRNA from 1 species